UGAGGCGCGCACCCCGCAGGGAAAUGGAAUCAUGGUGAGGAAGCGCCCCCUUCUGGCCAGAGAGGGAGCUGUCGGCCACGUUUUCCAGCUCUGGGAUGGAGACUGGCCCAGAGGCUCCUACUUUUUCUGAAGGACAGUUAAGGAAUCCAGUUCCUCCUGAGAAAGAGGGGAGACCACCCAUGAAAUCACCCUUCACUGGAUCCUUUUGACCGGCGCCAUCUUAGGAGCAAUGAGUUUCUCUCUCGAGAUCUUGUUUUUUGGUCAGAGCAUUUUUGGAGAUCUCACUCCUGCCUGUCUGUGUCAUCACCCUCCACCCAGGUCAGCAACAAAAUGCUCAGAGACCUGCAUCCCACCCUGGGCUCUCACCUACUAUCCCAGACUCCCAGACCAGGCUGGUUUCUGGGGUGUGUGCCCCUCCCUCCAUCUACACUGUUCUCUCCACUGGAGGAUGGUCACAUGAGGCUGCUUCAGUGUCCAUGGAGGAAACAAAAAGCAUUAAAAUUCCAUUUCUUCCUACUCAGGCCCCCCCAAUCGCCAUAUGUGACCCAUCACCCCAUCUCUGAGCAUGAGGUCACCCCGAGGUGCUGGGCCUUGGGCUUCUACCCUGAUGACAUCACCCUGACCUGGCAGCGAGUUGGGGAGGACCUGACCCAGGACACAGAGCUGGUGAACACCAGGCGGGGGGGCAGUGGGGACUGGAAACUUCCAGAAGUGGGCAGCUGUGGAGGUGCCUUCUGGAGAGGAGCAGAGAUACACAUGCCAUGUGCAGCAUGAGGGGUUGAUAGCACCCCUAGUCCUGAGAUGGGGUAUGAAGGGAAAUGUGGGCACAGAGGCUGACUCGGGGCCAUCAGAAGCCUUUCUGGAGACCUUCAGAGAGUCAGACCAAGGCCUCAGGUUCAGGGUCUGACCUUCCCUUCCCUUCCAGUGCCACCUCCUCAGUUCUCCAUCCUUGCCGUGGUCCUCAUUUCCAGCUCGGUUUUCUUUAGAGGUGCUCAUUGGACACAAGGUGGCUUCAUGUGUGAGGGGCUAGAAGAAGUGCUCAGGAGGACAAGGAGGAAGCUACACUCAGGCUGCAAGGGCAGGACCAAUGUGCUAUCCAUAGAAAACGGAGGUACCAAGUUACCGCCCCGCCUAAGGAAAGGUGGGGCUGAGCAGGGAUGAGAAGCUAAGGAAGAGGAGGAAGACAUGGAGCAAGAUGGGGAAAGGAGACUGAGGAGGUGCAUGGAGCAGAGAGACAUGUGAAGAAGAAACCACGCCUUGCUUCUCACUUGGACUUGUGCCAUGGAGUUGGGGACAUGGAAAGAGACAUGUGAAAGAUUAAAAACAUGGGUGAGAGACUCAUGGGGAGGCUGACAAUGACCGCUGUUAUCUUGUCAUGGAUUUAGAUUUUGUUCUUUUCCUUCCAGACUUGCCUGGCCCCUCCUGACCCUUUCCCAUGGGUCUCUACCAGUAGGUGCCUUAGCCUUGUGGCAGGCGUUCGGGCCCCAGUGGGCCUGCUUUGGGCCCAGCCUGUUUGGCUGGGCAUUGACCCAUGAGGGGACGGGUAACUUUGGGUGCUUCACUUGGGAACUAUACUAACUAUAUUCUUUCUCUUCUUCUCUCUCUAUUGCACACUGAUUCUCUAUUUUAUAGUAAUUGUAUUAAAGUUCUUUUCUAUU